rnacentral:rRNA from 1 species
UACGGAGGAUGCGAGCGUUAUCCGGAUUUAUUGGGUUUAAAGGGUGCGCAGGCGGAUUUUUAAGUCAGCGGUCAAAUCGUGGGGCUCAACCCCAUCCAGCCGUUGAAACUGGGGAUCUAGAGUAUGCGAGAGGUAUGCGGAAUGCGUGGUGUAGCGGUGAAAUGCAUAGAUAUCACGCAGAACCCCGAUUGCGAAGGCAGCAUACCGGUGCACAACUGACGCUCAGGCACGAAAGCGUGGGUAUCGAACAGG